rnacentral:lncRNA from 1 species
GCUUGAGUGCAAUUUGAUCAUCAGUUUCUCCCAAAAGCUUCCUACUUGUGCCAUCUCCGCAGCCUUGGAGAUGGCAUUCAGUUCCGAGGAGGGCAUCAGUUACAAUGGACAGCUGAGCAGAAUAGGUGAACAGCAAAUCCACAACCAUAUAAAUAUAUUAUGGCAUCAACUGUCUUUGUUCACUUAUUGUCUGGGAACGCUAGUCUAUGGAUGACCAUGAAAAAAAUAGGCCUUUGCUGCACAUCUUGCAUACAUUUUCACAUAAUGCAUUUAUUUAUUUGUAAUCUAUUGUAUUUCUUUAUUAUGUAUUUAGUUGUUAUUAUUUCAUUGUAUUUAUUCUUUAAUUUAAGAUAAAAAAAGGUAAAAAGGCAAUCAAAGCAUUUCUUGACAUAUUGCUGUCACCUACCCAUUAUGCUGUAUGUAAAUAUAACAUGCUGUAUAAAAUGAAUUGUCUUGAGGUCAUAUUUGUUUGUUGUUUGUUUGUGUGGCUGUAUGACCCAGCACUAUGUGGGAACGCAAGGUACCAGGACAAUCCAAUAAACUCCAGCUGUGCCUGGGUUGAAUUUACCCAGAUGAGUCCCACCAUUUUCUGCCAGUUUUACCGACAUGAAUUCCCCUGUCAACAAGGAUCUAAUAUCUGUAUGCUCCAGGGGGAGCCAUGUACGUCCAGCCCCAACGCCACCACCACCAUCCCUCCCAUGAACACAACCUUGACCUCUAACCCCGCAAACACAACCUCUACCCCCCUGAACAUGACCUCUAACCCCAUGAACACGACCUCUAACCCUGUGAACAUGACCUCUAACCCUGUGAACAUGACCUCUAACCCCAUGAACACGACCUCUAACCCUGUGAACAUGACCUCUAACCCAGUGAACACAACCUCUAACCCCAUGAACAUGACCUCUAACCCCCUGAACAUGACCUCUAACCCAGUGAACACAACCUCUUACCCCAUGAACAUGACCUCUAACCCCAUGAACAUGACCUCUAACCCUGUGAACAUGACCUCUAACCCAGUGAACACAACCUCUAACCCCAUGAACAUGACCUCUAACCCCAUGAACAUGACCUCUAACCCUGUGAACAUGACCUCUAACCCUGUGAGCACGACCUCUUACCCUUUGAAGACGACCCCUAACCCCCUGAACACAACACUCCCUAUCCACCUGAAUACGACCUCUAGACCCGUGAACAUGACCUCUAACCCCCUGAACACAACACUCCCUAUCCACCUGAAUACGACCUCUAGCCAAGCUAGCACGACCAUCCUGCCCAUCAACACAACCUCGACCUCUAGCCCCGUGAACUCGACCUCUAGCCCAUCUAACACGACCUCUGGCCCCCUGAACACAACCUCUAACCUCGGCCCCAACAUCCCAGUGACAGCACAGCCGAAUGCGUCCCUGACCUCCACCACAAUGUACACCAAAAGUACAGCAACCACCAAUGGGACACUAACCACCGCCAUAGCAGGUACCGGUUCCCCGACAGAGCUUCCCACAACAGGUUUGUCUAUAUGUUUUCGACUAUGA